AUUGAACGCUGGCGGCAUGCUUUACGCAUGCAAGUCGAACGGCAGCGCGGGGCAACCUGGCGGCGAGUGGCGAACGGGUGAGUAAUACAUCGGAACGUACCCAGAAGUGGGGGAUAACGUAGCGAAAGUUACGCUAAUACCGCAUACGUUCUACGGAAGAAAGUGGGGGACCUUCGGGCCUCAUGCUUUUGGAGCGGCCGAUGUCUGAUUAGCUAGUUGGUAGGGUAAAGGCCUACCAAGGCGACGAUCAGUAGCUGGUCUGAGAGGACGACCAGCCACACUGGGACUGAGACACGGCCCAGACUCCUACGGGAGGCAGCAGUGGGGAAUUUUGGACAAUGGGCGCAAGCCUGAUCCAGCAAUGCCGCGUGAGUGAAGAAGGCCUUCGGGUUGUAAAGCUCUUUUGUCAGGGAAGAAACGGUCGGGGUUAAUACCUCUGGCUAAUGACGGUACCUGAAGAAUAAGCACCGGCUAACUACGUGCCAGCAGCCGCCGUAAAAC
rnacentral:rRNA from 1 species